GAAUUUAAUUCAUACGUUUUGUUUAGAUUUUUACUGUUGUUUAUUUAUCUUUAUUGGGCGUUAAGAUUAAGGGGGAUUAGCUCCUUAUUUUAUUUUUAUAAUUUUUGUGUGUAUUUAGUUUUGUGGAUUUUAUAGUGAUUUUCGAUUUGAUUAUGUUAAAAUUUUAUUUGUUUUUUUUGUUAUUUUGUUUUAUUUAAUUAUUUAUUGAAAUGUUUUCUUUACUUUUUAUUGGAUUGUAAUUAUUGUGGGAUUAGUAAAUUUGUUUGUUGUAUUGUUUAUAGUUCUGUUUAAUUUCUUUUGAGGAAUUAGGCAAAAUUUUUGUGUCCGCCUGUUUAACAAAAACAUCUUUUCUUGUUAGUUUUUGAAGUAUGGCCUGCCCGCUGACGUUGAGUUGAAGGGCCGCGGUAUUUUGACCGUGCAAAGGUAGCAUAAUCAUUAGUUCUUUAAUUGUGAUCUGGAAUGAAUGGCUUGACGAGACAUGGGCUGUCUUAGUAUUGAAUAUUUUAUUGAAUUUGGUCUUUGAGUUAAAAUUCUUAGAUGUUUUUAUGGGACGAGAAGACCCUAUAGAGUUUGACAUUUGGUUUAUUUAUUUAUUGGUUGUUUGUUUGUUUUGUUGGUAAGUGGGCCUUUUGUUUUGUUGGGGUGAUGAGAGGAAUGAUUUAACUCCUCUUGGUUUUGGUUAUAUUGAUUUAUAGUUA
rnacentral:rRNA from 1 species